rnacentral:rRNA from 1 species
UAGGGANUCUUCCGCAAUGGACGCAAGUCUGACGGAGCAACGCCGCGUGAGUGAAGAAGGUUUUCGGAUCGUAAAACUCUGUUGUUAGAGAAGAACAAGUGCUAGAGUAACUGUUAGCGCCUUGACGGUAUCUAACCAGAAAGCCACGGCUAACUACGUGCCAGCAGCCGCGGUAAUACGUAGGUGGCAAGCGUUGUCCGGAUUUAUUGGGCGUAAAGCGAGCGCAGGCGGUUCCUUAAGUCUGAUGUGAAAGCCCCCGGCUCAACCGGGGAGGGUCAUUGGAAACUGGGGAACUUGAGUGCAGAAGAGGAGAGUGGAAUUCCAUGUGUAGCGGUGAAAUGCGUAGAUAUAUGGAGGAACACCAGUGGCGAAGGCGACUCUCUGGUCUGUAACUGACGCUGAGGCUCGAAAGCGUGGGUAGCAAACAGGAUUAGAUACCCUGGUAGUCCACGCCGUAAACGAUGAGUGCUAAGUGUUGGAGGGUUUCCGCCCUUCAGUGCUGUAGUUAACGCAUUAAGCACUCCGCCUGGGGAGUACGACCGCAAGGUUG